UGAACAUGGCGAUUUGCAAUAAUUUACCCAUCAGUCUGUGUACCAGUGCGUACGAGUAACAACGACGUUCCUGCAAAGUGUGAUAAUUGACAUUUAUUGUAAAGAUACCGCAAAAAUGACAGACCGUGGGAAAGUUACGCAACCGCGUGUGAAUUAUCACUCCCUCGUUUCCUUUUUUACGCAUAAAAUAGCGCGUAGUAUAUUCGUUGUGAUAAAAAUUCUGCUCGAUUUAAAAAAAAGGAAAAGGAAAAGGAAAAAAGCAACGAGUGUUACGAAGUGAAUACGAGGUUAUACAAGUGUCUCGCGUGCAUUUCAUUGAAAAUUAAACAGUGAAAUAAAGUCGUAAUUUCUGCACUCACGUGAUCUCGUGGUUUCUGCUCUCGCCGAUUAGAUGUUCGUCGUCUGUAAACGCACACGACAAUAUAAACAGGACACAGCACACUUAAACACGCACUUGGCGCACAAAAACAAGCGGAGAUCGCGACGUAAACUAGAUUUAAAUCGCCACUGGGGAGAGAGAAAGAAGGUUAGACCGCGAAGUCGCAACACAAGCGGAGAACGACACGGUACAUACUCGCGAGUGUAUCAUAAUCGAGACAGCCAAUUCAUAUGCGAAUUGAAUUUAAUCCACUUGUUUGCAAGAAUGGAGAGAAUUACAGAGAAUAAAUUACACGAUUAUCAUCGAAAGUUAAGCCAUCGAACGCUUUACAACGAGGAACGAAUUGACGGAAUCAAAUUCUCCGAGCAAGUAAUUCGUUAACAAUGAAAACAUGAAGCUGUCAUGCAUUCAUAAAACGCACAAGACUUCGCAAUCGAAAAAGUUCAAAACAAAAAAAUUUCACGAUCCACGGGGGAGACUACACGAGCAAUGGACCAAUCUGACUGGCUUGUUCGACGUCGAAAUCGAACGAGAGAUAUCGAAAGGCAUUCUAUCGACUCGCACAUGAACUCGGACCGUCUCGAUCGUGGCUGGACGACUUCGGCACGCGCGACGAGUGAUUUUCAAAUGCAAAACGUGGCACGAGCGCAGAACACGCGCAUCAACCGGCACUGAACACGACUGGCUGACUAACUACUGACUGAGAGGCUGCCGUGCAGCGCCAACAGAGAAAGGAACAGCAAGCACGAGAAGGAGGGACAUCGCCGGGCCGAUUUUUCGUCGCUCUCCGUCGUGAGAAAGCCGCGGCGCGGCAGAUGAAUGAAAGCACAACACGUCCUCCGUGGCGCGUGCUUUUCGCGCGAAUUCGCCCACCACCGUACACGGAAACGACGAACACACGAUCCGGAACGACGAACAGCACGACGAACCAGGCACGAAAACUACCCGCGCUGCGGCGCUGCCUAGCUCGCUCGUCCCUGCCCGAACUCGGCCGACCGUGCACGAACAUGUACGAACCCGAGCGCCGCGAGUCGAACGCGUUCAAUUUAUCGGGCGCGCUUCCUCUUAACCCUUUCGACUGCUCCUCUUUCCUUCCACAGUGUUGUUUCGAAGAUUGUUUUAAACAUUAAUUGUUCGACUAAAGAAGAAUCGAAUAGAGAGAGAGAGUGACGAGGUAAGAUUAUGGAGUAAUAUGGAGUAAAUCGUAUAGACGAAUAGUUGAGCAUUUCUUUUUACUUGCAGUGUUCGUGUAGUUACUAAAUGCUAACGAAUAAAAAAUUCGAGCAGAAAGAUUGAGGUAAGAUUAAUCAUGGUUUAAUUAGAUAAAUGUAUAGUCAGAUUGUAAAAUACCUUUGUUUUCUUUUUAUAGUGUUUGAACGAUUUGGUUAAGUGUAUCUGUGUGUUGUAUGAAGUGAGCAGAUUAGAGGUUAAUUAGUAACAGAGGACCGGAUUCCUGCGAGCGAAUAUCUGGAUGAAACGUGCGCCGCACGUAGGCACGGAAAUUUAUCACAGAAGAGGCAUUAUCAUAGUGAUUAGUGGGCACGUUCAAGCACCGUGACGAUAGUUAUGAGGAACAGGAGUCACGCUGAUAAAUUCGGCGUCACGCACCAAAGAAUGUACGCAUCGCCGAUAGUUAAAUAUGAGAUACGAUACAAAUUUUUUAUGAAGCUACUGUUCGUUUGAAAAAAAAUCAAGAGACAAGAUUGGCCGAUUGACCACGCGUCAAGAAUACGUAUCAGUUUAUGCCGAACUAAACGAGAAUCUGAGAUAAGGAUAUCAAAGAUAUUUUAAGCAUCCUCUUAGCAUAAUCCUAUUUUAAGACGCGUAUUGGCCAGAGGAAUCCAAACGCAACAGUGGACACGUUGCACAAUAAUUUUAACCGAAAUUUGACACACGCGUCUAACAUGUUGAUCAAAUAACGAAGCGAAUACGAAUAUCAGAACACCAACCAUUCCUCGUUGACGAUGAAAUUUUUACGAAAGAAAUCUUACAGCCCAACUCGAUGAAAUUACGCAACCAUAAAAGAGAUCUGUCAAUUCAAAUAAAAAGUCAAAUAAAAGAUAUCGAAGCUAAUGUACAAUCCAAACACGGUUAACAGUACUCUUCGUGGAUUCUGAGAAUCCAUUCAGACGUGUGUUUUAUGUGAAAUCGAACGUCAAUCGCGAACGGUGCCUUUGGAUCCCGUCUGCACCAUCUGAAACACUCACCAUUCAUAUUAAAGAGCGCAAGUUCACUCACCUCUGCCGUUCAAGAAGUUCGUUCACUUCUAUAAACUCUCUGUAGUGGCAACUAGGGUGAAGAGACGGAGGAAUUAAAUUCGAAUACCGUUAUUGGCCCAAAAUUUCGU